rnacentral:misc_RNA from 1 species
GAGGAUGUUAAUUUCAGUGAUUCUGAGCUAGUUUAUCAUGUCAGGGAUGCCCUUGUUUCCGUCCAAUCGGGAGAUAGUGACAGUUACCACCAGCUUGUAGGGGUAAUGCAUCAUUCGCAACGUCUUGCCCCUGAUGAGGUGGCCCUUCUUGUGACCAGUCUAAAGGCGCUAUCUGGGGCAGUUUCUUAUAUAGACAAUGUUCACCAUGACUCUCUUCUUAAUUCUAUUUUUGGAAUGAGCAUGUGGAGCUAUGGACCUGAUGUGAUGGAUGCGUUGCUUGAAUUGAUUAUUUCCUUGGCUGCUUCAAAUGGAAAAUAUAUUGAUUCAUGCUUGGAUAUGCUUGUGGGAAAUUUCAUGCCACCAAUGUAUUUUGUUGAUGCGCUAAAGCAACCUCGUGGUCAGAAGAAAAAGGAACAAGUUCUUUCUCGGGUGCAUACAGCUCUGGAAGAUAUUGCUACUCUGGUACCUAUGGCGGCAUUGAGAUUGUCAUCAAUAGUUGUCCAUAGGAUGCCAACAACCUUUUUUAAAAAGAGUCUUGAGAAGGAUCGACUGAAGUAUCGAACUGAGAUCUAUGUGGAGAACAUGUUGAGAUUGGAGAGCGGA